AGACGUAAGGGUAAUCUGGCUGUGACAUCUGUCACCCCAUUGUUUGCCAGGAUUGAUCUGGCCAGCUACGUAGGUGUCCCCUUCCUCCCUCACUUCUCUGUGUCCAUCCCUCUCAAGCUGCCUGCUUGGUCAAAGAGGACAAGCAUCCACGAUCAAGAAGGGCUAUUUCCUAAAUUAACAGUAUAUGAAG
rnacentral:snRNA from 1 species